GUGAUCUACGCCGAGGUGACCUCCCUGAGGUGCUCUACUCUGAGGUGAUCUGCGCUGAGGUGACCUCCCUCCUGGGCUCUGUGGGGGGAGCCCGUCGUCCUGUUUGCGGGAGCAGUCAACGCCGACCCCGGCGGCUGGACCCGGGGGCUGUUUCGCUUCCCGCGUUGGCCUCUAGCGCUUCAUUUUGCCCGGGCGUGCAAAAAGGUUAGCGACGGCCAGAGUUAGGCACUUCAGUAGUGACCGACCACCACAUGCGUUUCCUGGGGGAAGUGGGAUCCAAUUUAUGGUGAAAACUACUUAAAAAAACAAAAACAAAAACCCAAACAGUCCAUUUAUAAUCGGUACCAGAAGUGUCUUGAAGGCGAUCAAAAUGAUUUUUGCUCGUUUCCUACAGAUGGUCUUGUCUUCUAAACAGUAGAUCAGAGCCUGGACACCUGACUUGUUAGUUUGGCCCUGCUUCUGACUCCAUCUGACCGUUGGAUGGGUCAUUUUUGUUUACUUCUGUUGCAUGUUCCACUAUGACCAAAAUUAAGUCAAUUGGCAACAAAACAAAAAAAAAGUUUGUAAAAGGGUUUCUGGGUACGCGAGUGUAUUUUAGUUUAAAAGUGGCAUGUCUUUUUCAAAUGUAGGCAAAACUGGCUCUUUAGAAAAAAAUGUUAUGUGCAAAAUUUUGGCAUGGAAUGAGUGUGAACAGUGGAGCUGAAAGCCUCUGGAAAGUAGCGUUUACCGUGGGAAUAAGUGUAACGGCCUUAAGUAGAGUCGUAUGGUUAAAAAAGAUUUCUGAGUAAUGCAAAUAUUUUUUCCUUCACUUUCAUCCAGAUGAAAGAAUUGUGCAAUAAAGUUUAGCUUUGUUUUUGUUUGCUUGUAUAAAAUUUAAAAAAUGCUUCUUAAAAUGAAUGAUACAUAUACAUUCUCUAUAGGUGAGAUUGCACCAAUAUUUUGAAGAAAAUAUACAUGGAAAUGUUUCUGUUUCUAUCUGUCUGUCUAGGAGUCAAUAUAUUUAUGGGGGGGUGGACAAACUAAUAUAUAUAUAUAUAUAUAUAUAUAUAUAUAUAGCUCCCCCCCCAUCCUCCAUAAGUUGAAAAUCAGAGUACAUAUUUAUGGAUUUGGCAUUGUUUCUCCCAGCAGAGAAAAAGCGCCCAAACACGAGCGCCACACUUCACAACUGUUAAUGCAUUUCAGAUGAUUGUCGUGGGUAGCUAUGGUUUUGUAAACAAACUACAUUUUUGUGUCAUCACUGUAACGUGGUUUCUACAGUAUUGAUCACUUUUACAACAGAAGAGAAGACUUAAAAUAACAUAGGCAUGAUUAUAUUGUUUAAACUAAUAAAGACAAUUUUGUUCUCUUUGUAAUGCAGAAAGAUAGUGUUUAUUUCAAGUGAUUACAAAAUACCACCUUAACUGGGCCAUUUCCUUAGGCAUUUUCCUGAAUAUGCUUGCCAGAUCCAUCUUAUGUUAGAUAUAUUGUUAUCAACCUCAAUGUAUUGCUUUCUUAUGAGUUUUAUGGGAUCUUGCAGGUUUAGAGAAACUAAGCAUGGGAAGUGACCAGAGUCCUUGUAUAGUAAUGACAGGAAAUUGAGCCUAUAAUUUAUUUGUUUUCUGUGGGAAGGUGAAAAUACUCCAAAAUUGCUAUUGGUAUGCCAUUGUUUUCCAAAUACAGUGAAUAGUUAGUACUGUGGGUGCAAGAGUCUUUGCUGAUAAACAUUUUGCCCAGUGUGUAACCUGUGCCUCUACUUCAUCUGUAUGAUUGCCCAUAUUAUUGUAUUUUUCCUUAGUUACAGAGGAAUCUGUCAGUAACUACAUGGGCAGAGGAUAACAAAUACUAAUUAAUGUCUAAAAAUUGAUUCUAGCAGCUUGGUUUCCCCUGCUGUGCUCCAAAACUCUCGAGUGCACUCCUUGUUUCUUUAAUUUCAUGAAGUAUGUGUGCUUUCAGUUGCUGCUUAAACCAAAUAGAUCUUUACUGUGCCUGCAGCAGUGAGUUCAGGUCUCUUGGCCUCUUAAAAGUCCAGCACUUAAAAUCUUUUGGAAGAAGAAAAAAGGGAAGGGGUAGUGAGGCGAAUGGCUGGAGACCAGUGUUAAUAGCUUUCACCCUUGUGUCUAUCCUAGGUUAGGCAGGAACGAGAAAGAUUAGAUUUAGAUCCAAGCUUCAAGUGUGUUCUGAUAUGGUACUUUGUCCAGAAUUGUGUUUUGUAAUAAAUAAAAUACUCUGAGUUAUAUUAUUCCAUGACAAAUGAGAAAUAUGUCUUUUUUUUUCUUCUUUUGUUUUGAUUCCUAAGACUCCUGGGACCUGCGGAUACAUGGUGGUAGUUGUACAUGACCAAUUCCCUUUGAUUUCAUUGCAAGUUGUUUGCAAACACUGGCUGCAUAACCAGAUCUCUGGUAUUCCAAACUAUGUUUAAAAAAUUAUGUUUGGAGUAAUAGCUAACAUAAACAGGGAAACUCAAUCAAGAAGUGAUAGAGGAGCUUGUCCACAGCAGUACAAACCAAGUUGUGUCGUGGCAAUUUUUGCUAGUUCAAAGAAACAAGCAGCAUAGAAAUAUCCAUAGAAAAAUAACACUGCAACUGAUAAUGGACCAGCUUGUUGUUGUCUUCCAAACAACUAUUCAAUGCGUGAGCAGAAUCAUAGGUUGAAUCAAGAAAAAUGAGUGUACUCAUAGUGGAGAGCAUACUGAGCCUGAGUAGUGGAAUAGAAAGGAAUUGAGUCAGGAAAUUAAACUUUACUCUGAAAAGUCUAUGAAAAAGCUUUACUCUCUGCUAUAUAAAGAAAGGAAAAUGAAAAUCCAUCUAGUGCAAAAAGAAUAAAAUCUGAUACAAAUUUGGAGUCAUCUUGCACACAAAAGUAACAGGAAGGAUCGUUUCAGGUCAAUCCUAUUUUUUAGUCUAUCACAGGCUUCCUGUUUACCCUUAAGGGAAAGUUAAGCUCUGUGCCUCAGUUUCCCCCAGAAGUGAAAUGGGAUAACAACUGCCCAGGGGAGUGGCAAAGUUUAAUUCAGUAAUGCAUAUAGAGUAUUUUGAGACCAUGGGGUGGAAAGAUUUAUUAAUGCAAAGUAUUAUUAAAUACAUGUAACCCCCAAACAACAGGUAAAACAUCUCUUUAAUGGUAGGGGCUAGCCCAGAAACUGCUUUUUGCAAUAUAACGUGCAGUAAGUUUCCAUUUUCCAUCAAAGAUUGCAACAAAAAAGUUACUUCCUCAUAUUGCUUUUGCUAGUGUAUACUUGUGAUAAUGUUUCCUGUGAGCACAUGGCUCUGUAAAGUGUAUUAAGUAUACCUGCGUCUUCACAGUCUAACAAGAGUGCAAACUGAGGUUUAGCAAUCGCUUUACUGGGACAUGGGCACUGGACUGUUGGAUUUUGUGCAGGGUUUGCAGUACUUCUGCCACGCCUUGCCAAACCCAGAGCAAGGCGGUCUCUAACUCCAGUGUCAGAGCAUGAUUUGGUGUGCCUUGCAUAAUAGCAUCUCAGCUUGCCACCAGGAGAGAGAUCCAGUUUUCUGUUACUCAGUGAUGCUGGACUGAAUAUACAGCAUAAAGGGAUAGUGUCAUACAUGCUAGCUUCUCAAUCUUAGGCUGCUCCCAUUCAUUCUCUUUAAUAUGCAACUCAUGAUGCCUCUGGCUGCUGUGUUAUGGGUCUCCCAAGUUUUUUAAUGUAGAUUGGAUGUUGCCUUUUUAUUUGUAUAUCAGGGAUAAUAAUGCAGGGACAUCUGACCUCAACAGGAAAAAGGAAGAAAUCGAGUACCAGCAAUUUUUUCCAAGCUCGAACAACGCAUCGGUGAUCUACUGUAACCUAGAAUAAGGAAGAUGCAUCAUGCCUGUCAUUCGUUCUUUUCUGAUGGGGAGAUGUGGUUUGACGUACCCCUUCUGCCUUGGUACUUGAGCAAAGCCUUUGGUGGUGUGCUCUGUGAAAGGGAUACUCUAAAUGGAGAGUCAGCUGAAUAGAUACCUCUCAUGACACAUGGAUGGUCAACAUGAAGUUGCUUUUUACAAAGAUAGUUGGAAUUGCCUUCAAACAAACGAGCAGCCAGGAUCAGCUGACAUGAUCUUUCAGGCAUUAUGUGGAUACUAUUCAUGGCGCAUUCACACUUUGUGCAGAUUUGGAAAUGCCUGUUGCCAUCUCGUAUGGUCCUCAAGUCCCUGUGUUUGAGGGCAUGAAAGAAAAAGAGGGCAAGGAUUUGUUGGGGUUGGAGGCCACAUGACACAUCUUCUAUCGGUUGUAUGCCUAAUUAUGCAACUAAAGAGAUCCCUUCUUCAGGCAGUUGGGAAGAAAAGGACUGGUGAGAAAAGCUGAUUUCAUAGAUGUGCUGAAAUCCCGCCUAGUGCUUGAACAAGAAGGUAUUUUUUAAUUGAAAUGAAGAGACUCUGCAGAAAAGAUAUGCAGAUUGUAGUCCAGAAACUUCUGCUAAAACAGGAACUGAAGAUUAAAGUGUUAGGAUUUUUAAAAAGGUGAAACGGUGGUAGGUUGAACAAGAAAUCCAAGUGGAACUCAACAAGGCGGCAUCCCAGUGCAUCUGUGCUAAAGCUGUAGUGGGGAGGUAGUCUAUUAUCCGGGGUAGGAAGAGUGGGCUGAUGUCAAACAAGUGAAUGAACAUGGGCAAGGCCCCAGUCUUGUUCCUGCUGAAGUCACUUGGAGUUUUGCCAUUGGUUUAAUCAAGAACAAAGUUGGGUCCCUGCUGUUCAGAAAUCACAGCUUUACUUUCGCAGUGCAGGUAAAGAAUCAGUUCGACACUGCAAUUUGUGGUGGGUUUAGGGCUGCUGGAAGUCAGAUGUGUGGUUAAGCUGUAACAUUACAUGUGUGUUAAAGGACCAGACUCAGUUGGCAAUCUCAAGUGCCUGUUGCUUCGACCUUGUCACCCUUCUCUUUCCCAUUCCUCUGUUGGUUCCCCCACCUCUGUCUUGUCUUUGCGGUCCUUUAAUGACUUAUCCCCACCCUACCUUAUUAUUUGUAGAGGUCAGUUCCCACCUUCAGUUGUGCCGGGAUGCUAGCCUCCAUUGUAUACUUGUUAUAUUUUUAAACAAUCACCUUUGUGCCUCUCACAUGGGAGGAGCUCCCUGAAAACAUGUUGCAGAGCUACCACAGUCUCUUUCCGACCCCUAACGUGAUGCCUACAGAACGUGUCUGGUUCUGUAUUUUCAGGGAGCACAGUGUCGCAAGGCCCUAAUUUAUGAUUAGGGCCCAUAAGCAAUACGACAAUGCAAGUAACAGGAAAUAUGUAAUAUUCAAGAUUUGAAAUGGCAGCGAUAGCUAGAAGCAGAUCUUGUUGAACAGGGAUCUCCCAUCUCUCAAAGACAUCAACACAAACUUCUUGUGAUUGAAAGAAGGUACACAACCAAGGCAGGUGUAACACCAAGGCUUUCUGUGGUAAGGAUGAGGCAGUAGAAGAAAAUCAUAGAAAAUUAUAGCAAGGCUGGAGUAAGCAUCUAGAACGCUUUAAUUGUUUUGCCUUAAUUUAAUAUCCCAGCUUUGUCAUCCAAGACUGUUCAUCAUGAAAAUAAUUGGUCAGGAUCAAGACAGGUCUUUGGCAUGUAGGGGUGCUUGUACACAUGAUGGGGGUUUAGUCCCCUAAAUUGAAACAGUGGGUUUUUAACUGUGAUGAUUAAACCCCCCCCCCCGAUUCAAUUUAGGGGCUCCAUCACUGUUAAGGUGAGGGGCCCAAUCCCUUUUUUUUUGUUUUGUGGAGCCUGUCAGCAUCUCCCUCAGCUGGGGGGUGAGCUGCCUGUGGCUCCUGAGCUGCAGGAGGCCCCAGACCUUCUCUCCACGAUGAUGGUGCCCCUUGGGGCCACCCACGCAGGUGGCUAGUGGGCAGGUGCUGCCCUAGCUCACAGGCAGCACCCAGCCCAAUCCAACUGUUCUCCAAGCCUGAGCUGGGGCAGCACCCCCACAGGUGUUCAGUGUGACACAAUUAAACAGCAACAAAGGCCAAUUUUCAUCAUAUGUACAAGUACCUCAGGACCAUAGUGGGCCUCCCAGGACAUCAGGGCUGUUCCAGGACCAUAGUCCUCUAAUUAUCAAAAGCCUACUUUUAAUUUCCAGCCUAAACUUUAUUCACAGCCAGUUUAUAUCCAUUUGUUCUUGACCCAGCAUAGUCCUUUGGUUUAAAUAGCUUUUCUCCUUCUCUGGUGUCCCUCUAUAUCUCCAUGUAUUUAGAGAGCAAGCCCACCCCUUCUCAACUGUUCUUUUGCUCGGGGCCACAAGCUAAGAUCUCAGCGUUCUCCCUAAGACAGACUCUAUUUCCCUGAUCAUCUUAGUAGCCCUCUCUGUUCCUGUCGCAGUGUGAAUUAGUCUUUCUUGAACAAGGAUGACCAGAACAGUGCAUGGGAUCUACAACGAUCUGUCCCUUGCUUGUGACAACAGGGACCCAGGUUCUGUUGUUCGAUACUAUACUUCACAGGCAGCGUAAAAACACAGAAGAGUAAGUGUCUCAGAAUGGCACAUCAAGGCAAAGCAAACAGCACACAGACCAAGUGGCUAGAAUCCAAACCCUCCCAUCACAGAUUGUUGUGACAGGUGAGAGGCAAACCAUGCCAAGGCUAAGCCCGACACAGUCUUGCAAUGGCUUGCUACCAAAUUAAAAGAAUUCCAGGAUGGACAUCGUCACAUGGUGCAUAAAGUCCUGACAGAGAGCGGAAGGACUUGCUCUAGUUAAUAAACCAUUAUCCAUUUCAA